AUAAUCUCUCAUAUACAGACAAUUCAUGCACAUAUGAAAAAACAAUCUGAAUUUAUAACUUCUUUAGCUGCUUCUGUUCAUAAAGAAGCUUCCUUCUGCUAAAAGUUCCAACCAAACCAAACUAUUGCACAUUUGAGAUCAAAUUAAAUUAAAUAAACUGAACUUGAGUAUUGGAGGUUUAACUUGGUUUGAUUUGAUUACGGUUUUCAUACCCAACAAAGUAUCAAUUAGAAUUCAACUGCAUUGAGAAGUAUUUCAAAAUUAUUAAAAAUCCAGAAUACACCAAGCCAAUGUGAAAGAAUCCGCCUUUAAGAUCGCUCGACGAGGAGAUGUACAUAAAGUGAAAUUGAUCCAAAAAUACUCGACUGUAAUUACCAUGAGCUGGACUCCAAAACCAAGAGAUGCCUACUUCUUCCCAUGAACCGCCAACUCCAUCUUUUGAAGGUUCAGUAGCAAAUCAUCUGAAUUAAGGAAAACCUUGUUG
rnacentral:misc_RNA from 1 species